GACGAACGCUGGCGGCGUGCUUAACACAUGCAAGUCGAACGGUGAAGCGCCUUCCUUUUUGGUGGGUGUGGAUGAGUGGCGAACGGGUGAGUAACACGUGAGUAACCUGCCCCCUUCUUCUGGAUAACCGCAUGAAAGUGUGGCUAAUACGGGAUAUUCUGGGUCUGUCGCAUGAUGGGUCUGGGAAAGAUAUUGUUUCGGUGGGGGAUGGGCUCGCGGCCUAUCAGCUUGUUGGUGGGGUGAUGGCCUACCAAGGCAGUGACGGGUAGCCGGCCUGAGAGGGUGGACGGUCACACUGGGACUGAGACACGGCCCAGACUCCUACGGGAGGCAGCAGUGGGGAAUAUUGCACAAUGGGCGCAAGCCUGAUGCAGCGACGCCGCGUGAGGGAUGGAGGCCUUCGGGUUGUGAACCUCUUUCGCCAGUGAAGCAGGCCUGCCUCGUUUGUGGGUGGGUUGACGGUAGCUGGAUAAGAAGCGCCGGCUAACUACGUG
rnacentral:rRNA from 1 species